CAUGCCGCGUGUGUGAAGAAGGCCUUAGGGUUGUAAAGCACUUUAAGCAGGGAAGAACCGACGUUGGACUAAUACUCCUUCGUCCUGACGGUACCUGCAGAAUAAGCACCGGCUAACUCCGUGCCAGCACCUGCGGUGACUGAGCGGGCUGGCAAGGCGCAUA
rnacentral:rRNA from 1 species